UACGUAGGGGGCGAGCGUUGUCCGAAUUUACUGGGCGUAAAGAGCGCGUAGGCGGAUUGUUAAGUGAGAGGUGAAAGGUUCGGGGCUCAACCCGAACAGUGCCUUUCAUACUGGCGAUCUUGAGUAUGGGAGAGGCGAGUGGAAUUUCUGGUGUAGCGGUGAAAUGCGUAGAUAUCAGAAGGAACACCCAUGGCGAAGGCAGCUCGCUGGCCUAUAACUGACGCUGAGGCGCGAAAGCGUGGGGAGCAAACAGG
rnacentral:rRNA from 1 species